rnacentral:rRNA from 1 species
AACGAACGCUGGCGGCAUGCCUAACACAUGCAAGUCGAACGAGACCUUCGGGUCUAGUGGCGCACGGGUGCGUAACGCGAGGGAACCUGCCCUUAGGUUCGGAAUAACUCCCCGAAAGGGGUGCUAAUACCGGAUAAUGUCUUCGGACCAAAGAUUUAUCGCCUUUGGAUGGGCCCGCGUUGGAUUAGCUAGUUGGUAGGGUAAAAGCCUACCAAGGCGACGAUCCAUAGCUGGUCUGGGAGGAUGAUCAGCCACCCUGGGACUGGGACACGGCCCAGACUCCUACGGGAGGCAGCAGUGGGGAAUAUUGGACAAUGGGCGAAAGCCUGAUCCAUCAAUGCCGCGUGAGUGAUGAAGGCCUUAGGGUUGUAAAGCUCUUUUACCCGGGAUGAUAAUGACAGUACCGGGAGAAUAAGCUCCGGCUAACUCCGUG